CCCUUUUGACGACAAUAACCUUGAGCAUCUCUUUGCUCCUACCAGUGUCAUAGACGAAUACCGACAGCACACGUUGAAAGUUAGAGGAUUUGAUACUUGCCUCUCUCUGAAUGAUAUCGAGAAGAUGCUACUUAGGGUUUUCCCCGGAUCCGAUUGUUUUCCUCUCUGGGACGGUUCAGUUUUGCUUUAUCUCCGUGGACAAUAUGCUAGGGACGAGGCUCUGAAACUUAGCGGAGGUUCUGUGGAAGGCUUUAAAUUUGCAGUUACUGAGGUCCUCCCAGAAACUGUGAUAGAGACUGGCAUCUCUCUCGCAACUGCACGUAGCUUUGGCUUUCGUGGAUAAUUCUAAAACCAAUCAGAAGAUCAAGCCUACGGACUAGAAAUCUCUCGUUCUCUUUCUCUCUCAAAUGCUGUCUCGUGUUAUUAACUUGUGUCAUGCAAUGCCUCCUUCUUUUCUCUUGUCUGGAUGUUGAAUGUGUUUUUAUUUGUUUUUUAUGAUUAAAACUCUGUAAAAACACUAUGACAAAUAGGCAUGGGCAUUCGGGGUCCUAAACGGGUUUUGGUUUUAUCCAAUCGGGUUUCGGUUUUUCGGGUUUACCAAAAUCAGCCCCAUUCGGAUUAUAUGAAAGUUCGGUUCGGGACCGGUUCGGAUUCUAUCGGGUUCGGGUCGGGGUUAGUAAAUCUUCAAAAAACCGGUACAACCCAAUAUACUUUCGGGUUCGGGUCCCAAUCGGUUUUUCGGUUUAAAAGUACCUGAUUUUUACCUAUUUUAUAACCAAAACAUCAGUAAAAUCGGUUCUUCAGUUUUAAAAUACUUGAUUUGUACCUAUUAAUAAAAACUUAAGUAAAAUCGAUUCAAAAAUAAGGAACAUCAACCGUGAUCAUUCAAAAUCAAACAAAAAAUAAACAUAUUUACUGAUAAAAAGAAAACCAAAUAAAUAAAAGCAUAAAAUGAAAACCAACUUCUCAUGAAAUGAUAAACAUUGUUUAACGAAAACAAAAUCAAAAUCUAAAUACUUCAAGAUUCAAUGGCCAUCUUCAACCAUCAACCUUCAUGUAAUAGUACCACCAACCUUCAUGCAAUAGAACCACCGACCUUCAUGUAAUAGAUAAGUAUUUUAGAUGUUCAAUAUUUCAUACUGUAUUUUGGAUACAUAUUAGGAAUUGAGAUCAUGUUUGGUACAAGAUCUUUUCGAGGUUUUGAAUGUUUCGGGUUUUAUCGGAUAUCCAUUUAGAUUCGGGUUCGGUUCGGAUAAUACUCAUAACUCGAAAUACCACAAAACAAGAUCUAUUCGGUAUUUACGUCGGGUUUGAAUCGGUUCGGAUUCAUUUUUAUCGGAUCAGAUUCGGUUUGGGUUUUCGGGUUCGGUUUAUUUGUCCAGCCCUAAUGACAAACUUGGUUGUCCAAUCAAUAAUCAUCUAUAUAUAAUAGCAAACCUGUUUUUUUCGAUCAAUGAUGUCAUCUUUUUUAUAGGAAAAAAAAAAUUAAUAUCAAACGGUGUAGUUUGUUCGGAGUAAAUAAUCUAAUGGCUAAUAUUUUGUUUAAGAUAAGAGUAUGACGUCAUUGUUUCAUCUCGUCUUCAAGCGUUAUCAAUUCAAUCGUCGUCUUCAAUUCACAAGUCAUAGCUUUUCAGAGCCCCGCUUAUACAAAUUGGAUAACCGUUAUCAUCUCCUUCAAGAGUCGUCUCUUUUCACAGAAUUAUUAAUAGAAUCAAUGGUACAGGUUUGCAGUUUGUUUUAGUAGUUCAUUCAUCAGAUGCUCUCAUUCGCUCCUUCUCCCUCUCCGGAUUUUGCUUCUCUCCGCUUCGUCAACAUCCUAAUCAAGUCUUUUUUUUUUUGGUGAACAUCAACUCACAGAUGUGUUAUCGUUCUUCCAUUUAUCUUCUCUCAAUCCAUAUUUCCCAGAAUCUCAGAAUCGUUUUCAACAUAAGCCGUGUUCCUUUUAUAAACGCUGCGACCAGAAACAACGAUUGGAAUUACAUAUACACCACGGAAAAUACAUCACAAUGAAGUCAACACAGCGGCAAGUAAAAGCCACCAAGUACGACGUUGAAAAUAAUAACGGCACCGUAAUGUGAAGAGGAGAUGGAGUGAACUGCAUCUUAAUUUUUGGACGACCAAUUUGCUUGUGGAUUUCCCUUUCUCUCUUCUUGUAUUAUCUGUUGAUUCGGACUUAUUUUGUCUCUGAUUAUGAUACUUUUCCCAGUUUUUGUAUUGCAGCCUACUCAAGUUUCAUUGUUUCAUAUUUAUUUCCUGAUUCUGUUUCAUUAGUAAUUGGUUCGUGAUGUUCACCAGAAGAACUGAUAUGAGAAUGGUGAAUAACUGAAGUAUAUAUUCUUCUUCGUUUUCAGUAAAUUGAUAAUUCGCAAGUGCAUCACUCAUCUGCCUGUGCAUGCGUUUAAGGGGGGAAGUUUGUACUUGAAGAAGAAGUGGAAAGAUCGUCAAGUUUUGAUGAUAAUUCUAUAUUUAUAAUGUUACAAAUCAUUGCAUCAAUAUAAUAUAAAUAAACGACCUCAUAAUUUAUUUUUUUAUUUUUAUU